rnacentral:rRNA from 1 species
GACGAACGCUGGCGGCGUGCCUAAUACAUGCAAGUAGAACGCACAGUUUAUACCGUAGCUUGCUACACCAUAGACUGUGAGUUGCGAACGGGUGAGUAACGCGUAGGUAACCUGCCUGGUAGCGGGGGAUAACUAUUGGAAACGAUAGCUAAUACCGCAUAAUAUUGAUUAUUGCAUGAUAAUUGAUUGAAAGAUGCUAUUGCAUCACUACCAGAUGGACCUGCGUUGUAUUAGCUAGUAGGUGAGGUAACGGCUCACCUAGGCGACGAUACAUAGCCGACCUGAGAGGGUGAUCGGCCACACUGGGACUGAGACACGGCCCAGACUCCUACGGGAGGCAGCAGUAGGGAAUCUUCGGCAAUGGACGAAAGUCUGACCGAGCAACGCCGCGUGAGUGGAGAAGGUUUUCGGAUCGUAAAGCUCUGUUGUAAGAGAAGAACGGGUGUGAGAGUGGAAAGUUCACACUGUGACGGUAUCUUACCAGAAAGGGACGGCUAACUACGUG